GUGCGCGGGUUCCCGGGCUUCGGCGCGAGGGUGGGAGUAUGUGGAGGCGCGUGCUCGCUCGUCUCCGAGGGGAGGGUCCCGCUCGGCCCCGGCGGUCGCCGGCCCUGGCCCCGGGGUGACGCGGGCCUGUCGUCGCCACCGGCGCUGGAGAAACCCCGCGGAUGGCGGGAGGCCCCUGUUCGCGGCCCGGGACUUCAGGGACGGCUCCCCGCAUAGCAACGGGGACUUGGACCGAGGAGGCCGAGGGAACUGGGCGGACGCAGGGCCCCCAAGUUGGAGGGUGUCCUCGGAAAAUGAGGAGUCGCCAGCCCCGGCGGCUGGGGGAAGAAGGCGUGCGACGGCUGCCUCCUGCUCCUCCUGAUGAGAACUUCCGGAGUGAGCGCGGUGUAGGGGAUCCAGGUGAGCUGGGAAGACGGUGUGUGCUGCGCGGGAACCUGCUGGUUGAUUACACCUCUGCCUGGUUCUCGGGGCCUGAAAUGUCGUUCGUUUUAGGACCUGCCAGGUCUGGGUUGACCCGCAGAAGACCCCGUUUUGCACGGAUGUGAAUAAAUGGAGUCAGACUCCAAGGAGACUUUUCACACUGUUUUCUGUGCCCAGUGACGUGUGCCUGUGUCGCCUCUGCUUCUGAGAUCCGUGGAUGGCAGCACUGUUCCCCAGGAAAGCGGCUCACAGAGCCACUUACACAGGAGGGGAAGCCAGAGAGGCCUGCACGUGCCUGCUGCCUCCGAGGGGCAGGGACCGCCCCUUGGUGCCAGGCUCGCCUCCCCAUGAAGCCGCCAUCUGUAUUCUGCCGGUCUGCACCUCGGAGAACAGCUUGCUUGCUGUUCCGACAAAGAGUAGGAGCACAAGAGGACAGUUCCUGCAUGAGAACAGGAAGCCCGGUCCCUGCAGCCCUCGGACCCCUGACUGAGCUCCAAGAGGAAGUGCCCUUGGAGGCCAGGCUGCAGGGGGAGGAAGUGGCCUGCGUCGUGGGACUAAGAAGACAGUCAUCUUGGGGAGGGGCGGGGGACAGUCCUCAGUUUCCCAUCAGGGCCUGGCCUUGCACAACCAGUUACGGAAGUGGCUGGUGUGAGGACAGUGGGAGGAGCCGGAGGCAGACCUACACCCUGUCGGAGUGAAAGAGAUUUAAUUCUCAAAAUUAGCCCAAACUGGAAGCAACCAGAGGCCAAAAGGGGAGGUCAGUGACCUGAGGCACAGUGGGAAGGGCUGAGGAGCGAGGGGAAGCAGGUGUCAGCGGACUGGUUUCAUUUACACAAAGUCUAAAGUCGGGCAGCAGGCAUGCCGUGUGCGGCUCAGGAACCUGGUUAUGGGGGCCUGUGAUGUGGGCUGGCAGGGGUAGGGGGCUUUUGGAACAGGUCCUUAUCUUUUAUAUAUAUAUAUAUAUUUUAUUGUUUUUUUACAGAGAGGAAGGAAGCGGGAUAGAGAGUUAGAAAUAUCGAUGAGAGAGAAACAUCGAUCAGCUGCCUCCUGCACACCCCCUCCUGGGGAUGUGCCCGCAACCAAGGUACAUGCCCUUGACCGGAAUCGAACCUGGGACCCUUCAGUCUACAGGCCGACACUCUAUCCACUGAGCCAAACCGGUUAGGGCAAUCCUUAUCUUUUUAAAAUAAGUAUGUCUUUAUUGAUAUCGGAGAGGAAGGGAGAGAGAUAGAAGCAUCAAUGAUGAAAGAGAAUCAUUGAUCAGCUGCCUCCUGCAUGCCCCACACGGAUCAAGCCUGUAACUCGGGGCCUGUGCCCUGACCAGGAAUGGAACCUUGACCUCCUGGUUUUAUAGGUUGAUGCUCAACCACUGAGCCACACUGGCUACUAGGCAACAGGCCCUUAUCUUAAUCCAUCCACAGGGUGGACGUAGGUGUCUGCUUGUGUAUGUGAAAAACAGACCUAACACGUGCUUUUCACUGUGUAAAUAUUUCCUCAAUAAAAAAGAAAACAUUG